rnacentral:lncRNA from 1 species
CGAGUGACCAGGGAGGUUGAAGUGUUCGCCGACUAGUUUUUGAAUGUUAUAAUUCUUGAAGUCUGAUUUCUGUCCAUUUAUUCUUUUGCAUAGAGACUGUCCGGUUUGGCCAAUGUACAUGGCAGAGGGGCAUUGCUGGGAAUGACAGCAAUGCUGGGAGUGACAGAAAGGAAUCUUGUUCUUUGCUCUGCAACUUACUGACAACCCUUCUUUUCCAGGUGUCUCUCAUUUGGAGCACGUACUUCCCACAGGAUUCCCAGGUGACUAAAGCCAGCCAGGCAUGCUUUAUGGGAAUGGUAAAACAGAAAGGUCCUGUGUUUUCUACAUAGCAGGCACCAUCUGAAAAAUGGCUGUACAGAGGACCAAUAGAAAAGCUGCUAGCUCUUUUGGUGGAAUUCAAAAAGCAAAGGGAUAAAAUUCUGAAAUGCAAGAAGUUUGAAGUGAAUGUUGAGCUUUCAGAUAAACUUGGCUGAGAGAUAAAUCAAGCAGAAUAACAGCCUAGGAUCGGUGUGUGCAGGGUGGAAGAGGAGGAGAAGAAAUAAAGAUUGCCUACCACAAUGAAGAUUAUGCA